rfam:Lepisosteus oculatus linkage group LG2, whole genome shotgun sequence.
GACCUCAUGGUGCAACGGUAGCGUGUCUGACUCCAGCUCAGGAGGUUGCGUGUUCAAAUCACGUUAGGGUCA